GCGGCACGCUUCAUACAUGCAAGUCGAGGGGCAGCAUAAAGUACUUGUACUUUGAUGGCGACCGGCGAACGGGUGCGUAACGCGUAUGCAACUUACCUUUUACUAGAGAAUAGCCAAGAGAAAUUUUGAUUAAUGCUCUAUACACUUAUUAAUUCUCAUGAAUCUAUAAGAAAAGCUCCGGCGGUAAAAGAUGGGCAUGCGUCCUAUUAGCUUGUAGGUGAGGUAACGGCUCACCUAAGCUCCGAUAGGUAGGGGUCCUGAGAGGGAGAUCCCCCACACUGGUACUGAGACACGGACCAGACUUCUACGGAAGGCAGCAGUAAGGAAUAUUGGACAAUGGAGGCAACUCUGAUCCAGCGAUGCCGCGUGAAGGAAGACGGCCCUAUGGGUUGUAAACUUCUUUUAUACAGGAAGAAACCUUUCCACGUGUGGAAAGCUGACGGUACUGUAAGAAUAAGGAUCGGCUAACUCCGUGCCAGCAGCCGCGGUAAUACGGAGGAUCCAAGCGUUAUCCGGAAUUAUUGGGUUUAAAGGGUCCGCAGGCUGUUUGUUAAGUCAGGGGUGAAAUCCUACCGCUCAACGGUAGAACUGCCUUUGAUACUGGCAAACUUGAGUUAUUGUGAAGUAGUUAGAAUGUGUAGUGUAGCGGUGAAAUGCAUAGAUAUUACACAGAAUACCGAUUGCGAAAGCAGAUUACUAACAAUAUACUGACGCUGAGGGACGAAAGCGUGGGUAGCGAACAGGAUUAGAUACCCUGGUAGUCCACGCCGUAAACGAUGGUCACUAGCUGUUCGAUGUACAUUGGUACAUUGAGUGGCUAAGCGAAAGUGAUAAGUGACCCACCUGGGGAGUACGCUCGCA
rnacentral:rRNA from 1 species